AUUCCAGCUCCAAUAGCGUAUAUUAAUGUUGUUGCAGUUAAAAAGCUCGUAGUUGGAUUCUUGGCACGGGGUAGCCGGUCCGCCUUGCAAAAGGUGCGCACUGAGCGGUCUCGGCCAUCCUUGCGAUGGUCUAUCCUGGCAUUCAGUUGUCGGGGUGGGGAUUCGCGACGUUUACUGUGAAAAAAUCAGAGUGUUCAACGCAGGCUUACGCCUUGAAUACAUUAGCAUGGAAUAAUGAGAUAGGACCUUGGCGGUCUAUUUUGUUGGUUUGCACGCCGAGGUAAUGAUUAAAAGGGACGGUUGGGGUUCUUCGUAUUCAAUUGUCAGAGGUGAAAUUCUUGGAUUUAUGGAAGACGAACUGCUGCGAAAGCGUCGAACAAGGACGUUCUCAUCG
rnacentral:rRNA from 1 species